rnacentral:rRNA from 1 species
ACCAGACUCCUACGGGAGGCAGCAGUGGGGAAUAUUGGGCAAUGGGCGCAAGCCUGACCCAGCAACGCCGCGUGAAGGAAGAAGGCUUUCGGGUUGCAAACUUCUUUUAAGAGGGAAGAGUAGAAGACGGUACCUCUUGAAUAAGCCACGGCUAACUACGUGCCAGCAGCCGCGGUAAUACGUAGGUGGCAAGCGUUGUCCGGAUUUAUUGGGUUUAAAGGGUGCGUAGGCGGUUUUUUAAGUUAGUGGUUAAACGGCGGGGCUUCACCUGGAUUUGCCAUUAAUACUGGAAGACUUGAGUUCAGACGAGGUAGGCGGAAUAAGUUAAGUAGCGGGGAAAUGCUUAGAUAUAACGUAGAACUCCGAUGGCGAAGGCAGCUUACCAGACUGCGACUGACGCUGAAGCACGAGAGCGUGGGUAGCGAACAGGAUUAGAUACCCCCGUAA